rnacentral:rRNA from 1 species
AGAGUUUGAUCCUGGCUCAGAUUGAACGCUGGCGGAAUGCUUUACACAUGCAAGUCGAACGGCAGCACGGGUGCUUGCACCUGGUGGCGAGUGGCGAACGGGUGAGUAAGCAUCGGAACGUACCGAGUAAUGGGGGAUAACGCAUCGAAAGGUGUGCUAAUACCGCAUACGCCCUGAGGGGGAAAGUGGGGGAUCGCAAGACCUCACGUUAUUCGAGCGGCCGAUGCCUGAUUAGCUAGUUGGUGAGGUAAAGGCUCACCAAGGCGACGAUCAGUAGCUGGUCUGAGAGGAUGAUCAGCCACACUGGAACUGAGACACGGUCCAGACUCCUACGGGAGGCAGCAGUGGGGAAUUUUGGACAAUGGGCGCAAGCCUGAUCCAGCCAUUCCGCGUGAGUGAAGAA